GGGCCGGUAGCUCAGCCUGGAAGAGCGCUCGGCUUGCGACCGAGAGGUUCCCGGGUUCAAAUCCCGGCCGGUCCACCA
rnacentral:tRNA from 1 species